GAUGAACGCUGGCGGCGUGCCUAAUACAUGCAAGUCGAGCGAACAGACGAGGAGCUUGCUCCUCUGACGUUAGCGGCGGACGGGUGAGUAACACGUGGAUAACCUACCUAUAAGACUGGGAUAACUUCGGGAAACCGGAGCUAAUACCGGAUAACAUGUUGAACCGCAUGGUUCAACAGUGAAAGACGGUCUUGCUGUCACUUAUAGAUGGAUCCGCGCCGCAUUAGCUAGUUGGUAAGGUAACGGCUUACCAAGGCAACGAUGCGUAGCCGACCUGAGAGGGUGAUCGGCCACACUGGAACUGAGACAAGGUCCAGACUCCUACGGGAGGCAGCAGUAGGGAAUCUUCCGCAAUGGGCGAAAGCCUGACGGAGCAACGCCGCGUGAGUGAUGAAGGUCUUCGGAUCGUAAAACUCUGUUAUUAGGGAAGAACAAAUGUGUAAGUAACUAUGCACGUCUUGACGGUACCUAACCAGAAAGCCACGGCUAACUACGUG
rnacentral:rRNA from 1 species